rnacentral:rRNA from 1 species
UAGGGAAGGUGCGGCAAGGGACGAAAGUCUGACCGAGCAACGCCGCGUGAGUGAAGAAGGUUUUCGGAUCGGAAAACUCGGUUGUUAGAGAAGAACAAGGACGUUAGUAACGGAACGUCCCCUGACGGUAGCUAACCAGAAAGCCACGGCUAACUACGUGCCAGCAGCCGCGGUAAUACGUAGGUGGCAAGCGUUGUCCGGAUUUAUUGGGCGUAAAGCGAGCGCAGGCGGUUUCUUAAGUCUGAUGUGAAAGCCCCCGGCUCAACCGGGGAGGGUCAUUGGAAACUGGGAGACUUGAGUGCAGAAGAGGAGAGUGGAAUUCCAUGUGUAGCGGUGAAAUGCGUAGAUAUAUGGAGGAACACCAGUGGCGAAGGCGGCUCUCUGGUCUGUAACUGACGCUGAGGCUCGAAAGCGUGGGGAGCAAACAGG